UUCUGACUUGGAAAUAUAGAAGGUCUUGACGCAUUGGUUAAUGUCUGAAGUGAAAUGAGAUUGGAUUUCCUGCCGAUGAGACUGACACAAAGGCUGAAUCACUUGAUGUGUGAUGGGAGAUAUAGAUGGACAGAAUUUCCUUGUGAGUAAAAAACAUUUAUGACCAGGAAAUGAGGAGGAACUCGAUUUCUUUCUACUACAUUUGGUCAGCAAUAUGAAGUGAUAGAAUCAAGGAUUGUGUUUUCAAUUGUCCCUCCCGGCUGAACUCCCAAUUGCAAAUGGGAUUUAGAUGCUUUUUCAAGGAUGGAAUAGACAUUGUCUCUUUGUGGUUGGUUGUAGGCAGAAUUCAUUGGGCCUACAGGAGGAAAUAUGUUGGGAAAUUCUAACUGCUGCUGCAAUUGUGUCUUCAGCUGCAUUUUUCAACAAGUACAACUGAAGAAUUAAGAUAUAUUCUUAUUGCUCAAUUACAAUACAUCCAAUGACCAUGAUUGUCUGUGCAGGAGCACUUAGAAUAAAAAGCUGUCCACGGUGGGUGCUUAAAGAACAAUUUCCUUGUCUCCUAUGCCCAGUUAUGAUCAAAACAAGAAUAAAAUCCAAGCACUGAACUUAGAACCUUUAAGUCAUUUGCCAAACCAUGAAUGAAACAUAAAAUGUAGAAUGUGCAAUCACAAGUGCCUGAUGUUUCACAUUCAUUGAUACUUCUAUGUAUCUCAUUUCUGAGACAUUUUGUUAAAGUAACAAGACUGAAACUUCAAAUUUCCAUCAUGUAAAUUGCUUUAACAUAUUGUCUCUGAUUAUGCAGUUAAAUUUAGGAUGACAAUUCCGAAGGUAACAGAUCCACAGAAAAAAAAUAAUUGUGCUAAGUUUGAAGCCAGCAUUAAUACUGGACAUGCCCAAGGAAUCCAAUCACUUAAAAUUAAUCCCUGAAAGCCAUCAGAUGUCUUUGCUGACAGAGCACACAAUGCAGCUUUGUUUCACUCGCUUCUUUGCAGACAACAUACCCAGGCGUGUGUGAUGUCAAUUGUCUUCCAAUGCUCAUUUCACGUUGUUGCUGUAAAUUGGCCAAGAAAUGCAUAAUGAACUAACAACAUGGGCCUCAAUCAAGAUGAUGAGUAUUAAAUGAAAGACGAAGUCCCAUUCAAGCCAUCUGAAAGACACAGAUCCAACCCACAUAUUGUGAGGAAUGAACAAAUCAACAGUGAAUCAAAGCUCACAGAAAAUUUAUUAUUAAAGUACGUAUAGGUCACCAUACACAACCCUGAGAUUCCGUUUCUUGCGGGCAUUCUCAAUAAAUCCAAUAACCAUAAUGGAAUCAAUGAAGGCGGCACCAACUGGGCAGUGUGCAAAGGACAACAAGUUGCAAGUACAAAAAGAAAGAAGACGUAAUAAUGAAAAUAAAUCAAUAAGGAAUAAAUAUGAAGAACAAGAGAAGAAGAGUUCUUGAAAGUGAGUCCAUGGGUUGUGGGAAUAUUUUCGAGAUGGGGUGAAUGAAGUUGAGUGAAGUUAUCCCCUUUGGUUCGAGAGCCUGAUGGUUGAAAGGUAAUAACUAUUUCUGAACCUGGAUGUGUAAGUCCUGAGGCUCCUGCACCUUCUUCCUGAUGGGAACAGCACGACCUGAGUGCUUGGGGUCCCUGAUUAUGGAAACUGCUGUUCUGCAACACUCUAUGUAAAUGUGUUUAAUGGCGAGGAGGACUAUGCACUACUUUUUGUAGGAUUUUCCAUUCAAGUGCACUGGUGUAACCUAACCAGGCCAUGAUACAGCCUGUCAAUAUAUUUUCCACCACACAUCUAUAAAAGUUUGUCGAAGUUCCAGAUGUCAUGCCAAAUCUCUGCAAGCACCUGAGGAAGUAGAGGUGCUUUCUUGGUAAUUGCACUUAUGUGAAGACCCAGGAUACAGCUUAGAUGAAAUGAUGGGUGAGAUUUCAGAGUGCUUUACAGGAAAGGAAAUUGACAUUUUUUUUGGGGAAGUUCCACAGUUCCUGUAAUAUUCCCCCUGGGUCCCUGUUUUUGCUGUCAUAAUCUCCCAUUCUAGUGUUGAGAAGUGAGGUGUUUGUUCCUGUGUCUGUCUCAUUUCAUCAUAUCAUGUCAACUCAAAUCACUCGAUUGGACUGAGUUGAGAAAUGCUGCUUUAAAUUCUCCAGACAGAGUGAGACAUGCUUAGUUCAUGAUUGUAAUCAGCACAUGAAAGCAGGUGUAGCAAAUGUACUCAAAGGAUCGGAGAAUUAAGUUGGUUAAUAUAAGACUCCGCAUACCGUAUGCAUGCACAGAUAAAUAUCAUUCCAUUGCCAAGACUAGGUAAAUAUGACACAUGACCCUGCAGCAGCAAUUCAGAAUUUUAUGAGAUUAGAAACACUGGCCCCAGUAGAGUUGUGUCCCAGCACUCACAGUGUUAAUAAAACUGGAUUGAACUCCUCAGAAUCAGAAUUGGGUUCAAAAUCACCAGCACGUGUCAUGAAAUUUGUUAACUCUGUGGCAGCAGUGUAAUGCUAUUCAUGACAAAUAUAGAAAAGAAGAUAAAUUACAGUAAUACAUGUGCAUGUGUGUGUGAGUGUGUGCGUGUGUGUGUGUUGUAUAUUAUCUAGUUAAAAUAAAAUUAGUAAUGCAAAACAGAGAAAUAAAUAAAAGGAAGUAGUGAGGUAGCGAUCAUGGGUUCAGUGUACAUUUAGAAAUCAGAUGACAGAAGGGAAGAAGCUGUUCCCGAAUCACUGAGUGUGUGCCUUCAGGCUUCUGUACUUCCUUCCUGAUGGUAUUAACGAGAAGAAUGCACGUCCUGGGUGGCAGGGGUCCUUAAUGAUGGGCACUGCCUUCCUGAGGCACUAUUCCUUGAAGAUCUCUUGGAUACUGUGGAGGCUAGUACCUAUGAUGGAACUGACUAAUUAUACAACUUUCUGCAACUUACUUCAAUCCUGUGUAAUACCCCCACUACUAAACUUUGAUGCAGUCCUUCUGAAUACUCUCCACGGUCCAUCUGUAGAAGUUAUUUAUUAAAUCUAUAUGUUCAAUAAAUUAAACUGCCUGAUUAAGAAACAUGAAGUAAUUUUUCCUUCAACAAAGCAAGAGAGUUUUCUUCAGAUAAA